rnacentral:misc_RNA from 1 species
GGGGAACUUUCUUUCCUUGCUUUUUAUCUCUCCGACCCUUUCCAUAAUCAAUUGUAUGGUUGUCUGUAAAGCUAGUAGGAUGCUUUCCAGCAACUGAUCCACAGCAAGACUUGUAUUUCUUCUUUGAACCACAGGGACAGGCCUUAUUUCUUGGAAUUUUCUUUUCAUCUUCCAGGGAGGUGUGUUCAUCAGAAGCUCCUUUUACACUACAGUCAGAGGAACCUCUUUUACAAGGUGAGUCUCCAGAUUUGAUAGCAUGCUCUCCUAAAGACCCUUGUGAAGUGCUUGCCAAAGAAGAAAUGUUAUCAUUUGCAUCUAACUGGUCCUCGGAUCCUUGUUCUGCGAUCAGAAAUUCUAUUGCAGCAUCAACAUCACCACCAACUUGUCGUAAUACCUGCUCCACUUUUUGUUUGUUAUCACACCCACUUCCAGCCAUAACCAUUUUGACUGAUCCUUCUUGAACCAUAUUUCGACUAGUGUCUCCCUUAGACUUGGCAGCAGCUAUAACUUCACGAGAUUUUGCUGAAAGAUCAGCAUCAGCCUUGAUAAUAAUCGGGAUAGCUGGUCCAGUGCAAGAAUCUUCCCUUAGCCGAAUGCUAUUGUAAUGCUCUCCGUCGUGAUAAGAAAGAUGAAGCAUCCGAGAUUCACGGUUGUCAAAAUUCUGUAUGUACCAGCGAGGUGACAUAUGUCGGUGGAUGC